AUUCACAUAUCAUACGGCCUUUGUGAUGAUGAGCAUUCUGCAUUGAGUUCUCACCCACUCUUUCCAACUUGGAACUAUCAGCUCCAAAUUCAUCUCCCCAAAACAAAAUCCUAUUUAUUCUCUUGGUUAUCGCAAUUACCAAACUGCACAAGCCCACCAUUCACACACUCUCUCUCUCUCCCUCCCCCUCCCCCAACCUACUCGGCUCCCUCUCUCUACUCGAACCAAUUCAGAUCCCCAAACAGCUCCAAACUCGAAUUCGUACCUUCGGCCACCAUAGGUUUUUUUUGUGUCAAAAAUCACAAAAAUCCCUCAAUAGAAAGAAAUCACAGAUGCUUGAAUUUCACUCAUUCAACAACCACAAUUUCCGAUGAAGUCAUAUCACAAAUCUUCUAAACAAAACAUACCACCACAGUUUCCAAUCGAAAUCAUAUCACAUUCAAACUCCUAGCCAGCUU
rnacentral:lncRNA from 1 species